AACGAACGCUGGCGGCAUGCCUAACACAUGCAAGUCGAACGAGACCUUCGGGUCUAGUGGCGCACGGGUGCGUAACGCGUGGGAACCUGCCCUUAGGUUCGGAAUAACUCCCCGAAAGGGGUGCUAAUACCGGAUAAUGUCUUCGGACCAAAGAUUUAUCGCCUUUGGAUGGGCCCGCGUUGGAUUAGCUAGUUGGUAGGGUAAAAGCCUACCAAGGCGACGAUCCAUAGCUGGUCUGAGAGGAUGAUCAGCCACACUGGGACUGAGACACGGCCCAGACUCCUCCGGGAGGAAGCAGUGGGGAAUAUUGGAAAAUGGGCGAAGGCCUGUUCAAGCAAUGCGGGGUGAGUGAUGAAGGCUUUAGGGUUGUAAAGCUCUUUUCCCCGGAAUGAUAAUGACAGUACCGGGAGAAUAAGCUCCGGCUAACUCCGU
rnacentral:rRNA from 1 species